CGUGAGCAUCCGUCCAACCCGAGCAGAGCGGAUGUCUGUCCCGCGUCCCAUUGACAAUUCAAUCCCCACGCACCGUCCUCACCUCAACAGCUCUCGCCUCGCCAUGCCUCUCCCCGUCCUGCUCGCCCUGCUCUGCGCCCUACACGCUCCCGCGAGCUCCGCGUCCACGGAGACGUACUCCCUCUCGCCAGGCCAGUUGCUCGCCGGCGGCGACAAGCUCGUCUCCAGCGGCGGCAAGUUCGCGCUCGGCUUCAUCCAGAUCCCAGGCAGCGACAGCAAACCCUCCGGCUCCGGCGGCAACAGCACUCAGUUACGCAUAUGGUUCAACCGUGUUCCCAAGCUGACCUCGGUGUGGGUAGCCAACAGGGGAGGCAGCCCGGUGACAGGCGCCGCCUCCCCGGAGCUCACGAUCUCCGGCGACGGCAACCUCGUCAUCGUGGACCACGGCAAAGUCGCCUGGUCCACCCAAGCCGCCGCCACAGCCAGCAACAACAGGACGGUCCUCCUUCUCCUGGACACCGGGAACCUCGUCCUGCGCAGCGCCUCCGACGUGCUGUGGCAGAGCUUCGACCACCCCACGGACACUCUGCUCCCCGGCGCCACCAUCGGGCUGGACAAGGUCACCGGCCGGAGCCGCCGCCUCGUCUCCAGCAAGAACCGGAUCGACCAGGCUCUGGGCCUCUACUCCAUGGAGCUGGGCCGCAGCGGCGUCGUCCAGAUGCUGUGGGACUCGUCCGUGCCGUACUGGUCCAGCGGGGAGUGGAACGGCGGGUACUUCAGCUCGGUGCCGGGGAUGACCGCCCGCCACCUGUUUGGCUUCACGUUCGUCAACGACGACCGGGAGGUGUCCUUCGCCUACCACCUGCUCGACGAAACGAUCACCAUGUACAGCUUCCUGGACGUGUCCGGGCAGAGGAAGGUGUUGGCCUGGCACGAGGCUACGCAGAACUGGGCGACGGUCUACACCCACCCCACCGCGCAGUGCGAGGUACACGCCGCCUGCGGGCCAUUUACGGUCUGCGACGACAACGCGCCGACGCGGUGCAGCUGCAUGAAGGGAUUCUCCGUGGGUUCGCCUGAGGAUUGGGACCUUGAUGAUCGGAGCACGAGCGGAUGCAGGAGGAACACUCAGCUGAAUUGUGCUAGCAUUAGCAGCGGCACCAUGGUUGGCAUGGCUGACAUGUUCUACACCAUGCCGUCCGUCAGAUUGCCCUAUAAUCCCCACAGCGCCGUUGGACAUGUCGCCAGCGCAGUCGAAUGCGAGCAGGUCUGUCUGAGCAACUGCUCUUGCAGUGCAUAUACCUUUGGAAGUGGUGGCUGUUCUAUGUGGCAUGGUGGAUUGCUGAAUGUAAAACAACACCACCAGAUUGAUGGUGCUUCCAGCGGUGAUGGCGAAAUUCUUCACAUCCGCCUCGCGGCAAAAGAGUUCCGGACUCGGAAAAACAACAAUGUAGUUAUCAUUUUAGGUGCCAUUGGUGCAGGCCUCAACGCUCUGGGUAUCUUGGUACUCAUCGUAGUGCUACGCAGGACCAGGAGGAACAAAAGGUACAGUGAAACAUUAGACAAAAUCCAUGGUGGUAGUGGGCUUGUUUCAUUCAGAUACAGCGAUUUGCGGCGUGCAACUAGAGAUUUCUCGGAGAAGAUUGGGGCAGGUGGUUUUGGUUCUGUGUUCAAGGGGUCACUAAAUGAUUCGACCACUAUAGCCGUGAAAAGGCUUCACGGUUGUUAUCAACAAGAGAAGCAAUUCAGGGCUGAGGUGAGUUCAAUUGGAAUCCUCCACCAUACAAAUUUAGUCAAAAUAGUUGGUUUUUGUUGUGAGGGCGACAAGAAGCUUCUUGUCUAUGAACACAUGCCAAAUAGUUCCCUUGAUGCCCAUCUGUUCAGGAGCAGUGCCAAAACUCUGAAUUGGAGAACCAGAUACCAAAUAGCUCUUGGAGUUGCGAGGGGGCUGGCAUACUUGCACGAGAGCUGCCUGGACUACAUCAUACACUGUGAUAUAAAGCCGCAAAACAUACUUCUGGACGCAUUGUUUGUUCCUAAGAUUGCUGACUUUGGGAUGGCAAAGCUUCUGACAAGGGAUUUUAGCCGGGUCAUGACCACAACCAGGGGCACAAUUGGGUACCUUGCCCCUGAAUGGAUCAGUGGAGUGGCUAUCACACCCAAAGUCGAUGUGUAUGGAUAUGGGAUGGUGCUACUGGAGAUCAUAUCGGGGAGGAUGAACGCGAACGGAGAAUGCGGCAGCAGUGGUGAUGGCAUUGUUUAUUUCCCCAUCCAGGUGGCACGCAAGCUUCUCGAGGGAAAUGUCACGAGCUUCGUGGAUGAUAGGUUAAACGGUGAUGUCAUCAUCGACGAGGUUGAAAGGGCUUGCAAGGUUGCCUGUUGGUGCAUUCAGGACAGGGAGUUUGAACGGCCAACGAUGGGCAAGGUAGUCCAGAUUCUUGAGGGUCUUGUUGAAGUCGACACCCCUCCGAUGCCUAAGCUACUUGAAGCUAUCGCCGGAAGAUCAAAUUCAGCAUGCACCUGACCUGAGUGGAACUUGUCUGUUGAGCUUGCACUUCUGUUGCUACUACAGUCUAAUGGAGCAUUUCUCAAGCACCCGCUGGUUCGAUCAUCUAGCUCCCAGUCCUCUGGUGAUCUCACGGUGAAGCCCUUCAUACAAUUUCAAGAUGGCAGCAUGUUAUAAUUGCAAUUUGAACCCUGAUGUCCCGGCCCCACCAGUCAGGGCCACAUGGCAAGUGGGAGACGGCGACCGCGAACGGCCGUUAACGGUGGCUUGCAUUCACCUGGUCUAACAUAUAUGUCCAUGUACCAGUCUCGAAGAAGCCAAGCGCGUACCUGUCGUUCCGGGAGACGAGCUUGUUGCCGCUGCCAAGUGGUUGGCGAGCUGAGAUGGUGUCUGUCGUAGCAGAGCUUGUCACACCGAUGUGUAGGUGGAAGAUUGCGGUGAAAACAAAGAUGAGGAGAAGGCGAGCUUGCAGUUGCAGAGAGAGACUGCAGAUGUAGCAGGAACGUAGGUGGUUCUUGCCAGAAAAGCAUUGUGAAGUUAAGUAGCUAUUCAAGUACAACCAUCAAAUUAACUAGUGGAGGGAAAAGAUGUUCCAUUGGCGAUCUAGGAUCGGGUGUUAGGCUUAACUUAGUGAUGAGCUGCACGACCAAUGGGCAUGGCAGCGACGUCAUCUCGUCUUCCUAGAAUAUAAUACUACUGCUCAUGAACCUAAAAUAUUUUUGUUUGCCAGUUUCCUGAACCUAAAAUAAGUUGACAAUGGGCAACACCAAUACAGCAGAGACAGGAACACCAAUACAAGUGACUAAAUUUUGUACUAAAGCUAGUACAAAGUUGAGUCUUAAUUUGGGAUGGAGGGAGUACUUGCCUGAAUUUAACAAACUGAAAAUGGGCUAGUUUUGAGACUAACCAAGGGAGGCUAUUGAUUGUCUUUUGAGUGGACGUGUUACUGCCACUAGUGGAUGAAAACCAGUGGCAAAUUAACAGAUGUUUUCUGAUGUUCUUACUGCCCUCUCAGUGCAAAUUGUUUGUUACUGUUUGGUGAUGUAAAUAGUCCAAUUUCGAAGGGUCAAACUUUCAGGGGUGUUAGAUGAGAAUACGGCAACAUGUCCGAGUAGGAUAGAAUGACAGGAUCGUGAUAGACUGUCGGUUUCCAUGUAUAGUUCAAACCGACCUAGCUAAGCUAACUUGUAUUGCAAGUCUGUACGUGUAUAUAUGUUGAUCAAUGAAAUCAAUCGAGGCGUGCAAUUGCAGCCCGAUACUGUUAUCUUACAUGGUAUCAGCUUGACCCUCGAUCCUUAGCCUCCCUCCUCUUCCAACCUCGUAUUCUCCAAACCCUAGCCUUGAACCUCCAUCACCAUGACUCCCAAAGAGAUCGCCGCCAAGGAAAAAGAGCUGAACGAGCGUGCCAACGCUCUUGACGCCCGCGAGACCCAGCUCAAUCAACAAGCCACCGACACCGGCAAAGCAAACGCAACCUCAGCACCUAGCCCUUCCACCUACGCCACCUCCAUCAAAAUCCAUGUUCCCAUUACCCUAGACCUCGCUGCCUCCAACUACACCAACUGGCGCGAGCUGUUCCUUGUCGCCCUUGGCCGCUAUGGCCUCACCUCCCAUGUCGUCAGCAAGGACGGUGCUACACCCUCCGACACCUCGCCCACCUCUGAUUGGGGCCGCGAUGAUUAUACGGUCCUCUCCUGGAUCUAUGGCUCCAUCUCCGCCGAUCUUCUCGGCAUCGUCAUGCGCCCUGGAUCUUCGGCGCGCACCAUCUGGGACGCCAUCGAGAACCUCUUCCGCGACAACAAGAAACAUCGGGCGAUCCAGCUCGAGGCGGAGUUCCGUAAUACCCCGCAAGGCGACAUGACGAUCAGCGACUACUGCACCAAACUCAAGGCUCUCGCGGAUGCGCUUGUGGACGUUGGCCAACCGAUCAGCGAUGAAACACUCGUCCUCACCCUCCUCCGCGGCCUCAACGACAACUUUGCACAUCUCCGCUCUUUUCUUCCAUUUCAGGUUCCCUUCCCCACGUUCCUGCAGACGCGCUCAGCACUAAUCCUGGAGGAGAAUCAGAAGAAGACCGACGCCAAAAACACCGCGUCCACGGCGCUCUGGGCAAGCGGCAACAGCGUUCUCUACGAACGCGCUCCUCCUUCCGGCUCCGGGGGCGCGACUGGCGAGCACGCUCCCUCCUCUGGCUACGGGGGGCGGACGUGGCCAGGUCUCUAGCAACACAAGCUUCACCAAUUACAACAACCGCGGCGGCCGCCGCGGCGGUCGCGGUAGUGGACGCGGCGGACGUGGACGCGGUCGCAGCGACAACCCGUGGCAGUUCAACCCCUGGACCGGUGCUCCUACGCGCGCCAACCUGCUUCAGCAGCAGCACUCUGUCGUCCCAUGGCAGCAGCCUCAGACGCCAUGGCAGCCUCGCCCAUGGCAAGCUCCUACACAAGGUCUACUUGGUUCCCGCCCACCAACACCAAUGGCUCCGCAGGCGUACCCUGCUUAUGGCACCAACAACCAAAACCUCUCCAUGCGGCCGUCAACGUCCUCAAGCUCGGCGAUCGACCCAGCUCUCCUAGCGGCCCUCAACAAUAUGCAGCUCCCUGGCUCACACGAGUGAUACAUGCGAAAUCAUUCAGGUGAGCUUACGCACCCGGGUACUGCUAUCCUGGACGUCCAUAUUCAUUGGGAUGUGUGCUACACGGAACGAAAAAUAUUAGGGGCCACAUUAUCUGGCAGUGUUUUAUAGACAUAAGGGACCGCGAUCGCCUACUUGGGCUAGGGGGGAACUGUACCAGAUGGCCCAUCCGCUCGCACAAAAGGACAGACACAUGUGGGCUUCGAAAGCAAGCAUCUCCAGAAAGAGAGACAGAGGAGUCAUCCGCGGUCGCCGCGUGACAUUUUCUCCUCCGUCUUCCUGUGGAGCUAGCUCGGCGGCGGGGGAAGAAACGAGAGAAGGAACGAGAUCUGAGAGGCAGCUUCGCUUGCCGGGGAGGGAGGAGGGGGGAUCAUUCGCCAGUCCGGGUGUUCUAAAUUUCUGUCUACUAUUAUCAGUGAUCUGAAGUCUGAACUGGCUAGUGGCCGAGUCUGAAGUUGAGCCUCCUGAGCCAGACGGAGUGCAGGAUCAUGUGGAACAUGUCGAGCCUCUCCGGCGGCUGCCGCAGAGAGAAGAUUGAUGAUUUGUCAUUAUUUAUACGCUGUCCUGAAGCAUUGCAAUAAAUCUCCAAUAGGUUUGACACUGCAACCGAACCCUCUACACUAGCCUUAAAGAGCAACAUGCUGUCAUCUGCAAACAAAAGGUGGUUUAUGGAUGGGGCUGUUGGGGCCACCUUAAUACCUGCAAGUGAUGACUGUGAUCUGGAUUUCAGGAGGCAUGAAAUGCCCUCUACUGCAAUCAAGAAUAAGUAGGGGGAGAUUGGGUCUCCCUGUCGGAUUCCUCUGGUAGGUCUGAAAGACUCGAGCUUCUCACCAUUAAAAAGAACAGAAAAGGAUACUGAAGAAACCAUACCCAUUACUGUGGUGAUCCACUGCUGAGAAAAGCCCAAUUUGCUCAUAAUGGCCUUCAGAUAUGACCACUCCAGCGCAGUCGAAUGCGAGCAGGUCUGUCUGAGCAACUGCUCUUGCAGUGCAUAUACCUUUGGAAGUGGUGGCUGUUCUAUGUGGCAUGGUGGAUUGCUGAAUGUAAAACAACACCACCAGAUUGAUGGUGCUUCCAGCGGUGAUGGCGAAAUUCUUCACAUCCGCCUCGCGGCAAAAGAGUUCCGGACUCGGAAAAACAACAAUGUAGUUAUCAUUUUAGGUGCCAUUGGUGCAGGCCUCAACGCUCUGGGUAUCUUGGUACUCAUCGUAGUGCUACGCAGGACCAGGAGGAACAAAAGGUACAGUGAAACAUUAGACAAAAUCCAUGGUGGUAGUGGGCUUGUUUCAUUC